ensembl:lncRNA
AAUAAAAACAACAAUAACAAAGAGCGAGUGAAGACGCACAUCCACUCCCAGACGUGCCAGGCCCCUACCCGGGCCGAGGCUGGGGGGCAGUGGGCUCAGGUGGGCUUCUGGGGCCCAGGCCUGGGGCAGCCCCACCGCCAUCGCGGCCAGGUGAGGCUCAGGGGUCGGCGGGGCAGGGGGCAUCUUCCCAAAAGGAGUCCUAGACAGGGAUUCUCAAAGCGAGGUCCCAGAACCUCUCAGGGGAUCCAGAGAACAAACGAUCAAAACUACUUUCUUGAUGAUAGUAAGAGAUUUGCAUUUUUCACUCUCACUUUCUCGCAGGCAGGUGUUCCACGGAGUUUUCCAGAGGCUACGUGAGGCGUGAUCUCGCGAGAGCUUCAAAGCCCUGGCAGGUGUGAUAACCCAGCUGGCCUUGUGUUAACCUCACUCAAGAGAGCUGCGAAGUGAAACACAAGGCCACUCUUUGGGCUGCUUUGCUGGUUUUAAGACAGAGCUAUUUUUCAUUAAAAAAAAGUGCAUUAUUCCUGUGAGUACAGUGAGUUCGUUGUCAUGAAGCAACGAAUGCAUAAAGACCUCUGUUUUUUCUCAGCUUUAAUUUCCAUCGCUGCAAAUGUCGAUAUACACAUACACAACAGCUCUGGGCCUGCAAUGAUUUUUUAAACGCUAAGGGGCCCUGAGACCCCCAGUGUCUGAGACCUGCUGCCUGAGACACGUGGCUAAUGAUUGAUUACAGCUCCUCUGCGCACCCAGCCUCAGUGGAGGACACACACAGGGAGCGCGUAUUGAGUCCUUUCGGCGCCCAGCCCCCAGCUAAAGGCUUUACAAGGUCAUCUCAGGGAAUCCUCACACCAGCCUUAUGCGGGCGGUAAUGUCAAGGCCGAGGAGGAAACCCAGGCUGAGCU